rnacentral:tRNA from 1 species
GGUGGGUUGGCACAGUGGUUUAGCGUAGGUCUCGUAACCGAUCGGUUGCGGGAUCGAAUCCCGCUAGAGGCCG